rnacentral:tRNA from 1 species
CUAGAUUAGCAGGCCUCGAUCCUACAAAAAACUAAUUAACAGCUAGCCGUCCAAACCGACGGACUUUAAUCUAGCCUUCUCCGUUUUUGGGCGGGGGGAAAAAACGGAGA